AAAAAACCGACUAUUGAAUGUGUAUUUAUUUUGCCUCUUGGUACAAAACUGAUGGAAGAGCAGCCAUGAUGAAGCAGUAAAGGUUCUUGGAUACCUUGCUUCAAUACCUCUGGUCGGACAAGAAAAGACUUGGCUAAGGAGUAGAGCUUCAAAUAAUUUAUCACCAAGAAACUUACUGAUUAAAACCGAAACCUGUAACGCGAAAGAUUCUUAAUUAAGCUAAGUGGACGUGCAAUAGUAGCUGUUGUUAUAUUACAAAAACUCUGAUUUAUACAUGCCUGUAUAGUACAAUGCAUAAUAUUUUAUGUUUUUUGCAAGUUUCAAUUAAAGAAAAAUGGUCAAGUA